rnacentral:rRNA from 1 species
GAUGAACGCUGGCGGUCUGCUUAACACAUGCAAGUCGAACGGGCUCUUCGGAGCUAGUGGCGGACGGGUGAGUAACGCGUGAGGAUCUGCCCUUAGGACGGGGACAACAGCUGGAAACGGCUGCUAAUACCCGAUGUGCCGAGAGGUGAAACUAUUUGGCCUGAGGAUGAGCUCGCGUCUGAUUAGCUAGUUGGAGUGGUAACGGCACACCAAGGCGACGAUCAGUAGCUGGUCUGAGAGGAUGAUCAGCCACACUGGGACUGAGACACGGCCCAGACUCCUACGGGAGGCAGCAGUGGGGAAUUUUCCGCAAUGGGCGAAAGCCUGACGGAGCAAGACCGCGUGCGGGAGGAAGGUCUAUUGAUUGUAAACCGCUUUUGAUAGGGAAGAAGAUCUGACGGUACCUAUCGAAUCAGCAUCGGCUAACUCCGUGCCAGCAGCCGCGGUAAUACGGGGGAUGCAAGCGUUAUCCGGAAUUAUUGGGCGUAAAGCGUCCGUAGGUGGUUUUAAAAGUCUGUUGUCAAAUCGCGAGGCUUAACCUCGUACAGGCAGUGGAAACUAUAAGACUAGAGUGCGGUAGGGGUAGAGGGAAUUUCCAGUGUAGCGGUGAAAUGCGUAGAUAUUGGAAAGAACACCGGUGGCGAAGGCGCUCUACUGGGCCUGCACUGACACUGAGGGACGAAAGCUAGGGGAGCGAAAGGGAUUAGAUACCCCUGUAGUCCUAGCCGUAAACGAUGGAAACUAGGUGUUGCCC